rnacentral:rRNA from 1 species
CAUAAUAAUUUGCUUUUUAAUUAAAAGCUAGAAUGAAAGGUUUGACGUAAUAUUUUCUAUUACUUUUAAAAAAUAAAACUUAAAUUUUUGGUUAAAAUCCCAAAUUAAAUCUUAAAGACGAUAAGACCCUAUAAAAUUUAACUAAAUAAAUGUAAUCAGAUUAUUUUUAAUUCAGUUUUAUUGGGGUGAUUUUGAUAUUUAAUCUAUCAAUUAUCAAAUCGUUAAUAACCGAAUUAAUUUGACCCUAUAAAGUUUU